rnacentral:rRNA from 1 species
UGGGGAAUAUUGCACAAUGGGCGCAAGCCUGAUGCAGCCAUGCCGCGUGUAUGAAGAAGGCCUUCGGGUUGUAAAGUACUUUCAGUCGGGAGGAAGGUGUCAAGGUUAAUAACCUUGGCAAUUGACGUUACCGACAGAAGAAGCACCGGCUAACUCCGUGCCAGCAGCCGCGGUAAUACGGAGGGUGCAAGCGUUAAUCGGAAUUACUGGGCGUAAAGCGCACGCAGGCGGUUGAUUGAGUCAGAUGUGAAAUCCCCGGGCUUAACCCGGGAAUUGCAUCUGAUACUGGUCAGCUAGUGUCUUGUAGAGGGGGGUAGAAUUCCAUGUGUAGCGGUGAAAUGCGUAGAGAUGUGGAGGAAUACCGGUGGCGAAGGCGGCCCCCUGGACAAAGACUGACGCUCAGGUGCGAAAGCGUGGGGAGCAAACAGG